rnacentral:lncRNA from 1 species
GUGGGUUGGCUUAUAUUCAAAAAAUAAAUGUUCUUGCUUAGAUAGCAAGAGUCGGUGUUAUCUAACAUUUUGUAUCUUGUAAUCUUUUUAGUAGAUUGAAUUCUCAAGUAGGAGCUUGGAAAGUGAAUAUAGGUGUAAGAUUGGCACCAAACCAUUGUAAAUCUCUUAUAUUUAUUGUGCUUGCAUCUCUUUAUUCAUUCAUUGUGCUUUAUACUUGCUUACUUGUCAUUUAUGGUUGAUUUUAUUUUCUUAGCU